CGCUCCGGGGUGGACAGAGGCGCGCCCGCGCCCCCUGCACCCGUGCCUCUGCGCGCACCUGCCCCUCUCCCCUCGACGCGCGCCCCGCGAUUCACGCCACGCGGCCCGCCCACGGCACGGACGCCGAGGAUGGUCGCCCUACCCCGAAGCCCUAGCGCCCGCGCUAUAAGAGCCCGAGCCGCCGCUCUCCUCUUCUUCCCCGCGACGCCACCGCCCUCCCCUUUCUCCUCUGCUCCCAAGCAGCGCCGCCGCGCUGCGAACUCGACCUCCACCUCCGGCGCCACGACGAACCACCACGACACGGCAGCGACGACGUCAACCGGCCGAACCCCGGCGACCGUGGCCGCGACCUCGCCCCCGCGCCCCUUCCCCUGCGCCCGAGCCUCGCCACGGCCACUCUGCGCGAGCACGCGGCUGCUUGGAGCAUCCGCGAUCCAGCGGCCGCAAGUCACCUCCCUCUGCUCCUUCUCCCUCCGCCCAGCGCCACUGCGUCACCUCGCCGACGAGCUCGCCGCGGACGUCACAGAGCACGACCACACCGAAGCCACCCACGACCGCGCCAUGGCCUCGUCCCGAAGCUGUGCUGCCGUGGCACCGUCUCCGCCACCGGUUCGCUCUGCGCUCGCGACGUCGACAUCGCCUGCAACCGCGACGCCACGGACCAAGCCCGUGGCGAGCCCGUCGCAGCCGCGCCUCGUCCUCGGCCACGCCGACCGCUCCGCCCCCAGAGCUCGCGACGCCGCCCGGAGCUCCCCAUCGACCACCGCGCCCUCGCCGAGCCCGUGGCGCCGUCAGCACCGGUGAGCCUCGCCAAGACCGAAGAUUUCCCCUUCUUGCGUUCACCUUGCUGAGACCGGCCUUCGUGCCGCGAUUCAUCCACUGUGCAGGGAAACAGUGGCCUCGUUGUGUUUUGCCGAAGAUGCGACGCCUUCCCGAUGCCUGCUGCACAUCCCGGCCAGCAGCAGGCUUGCAGCUAGUCUACGCCUUCCUCGUGGUCAGCAAGGUUGAACCUUGAACCUAGCCGACAUCGUCUCCGACGUCGGCAAAACCCUUGUCCUUUCUCGUAUCAUUGUAUAAACUUGUUACAUGAUUUAACCAUAUCCAUGCCUGUGUCGUGCCUUCGCGCCAGUCUAAUUAUUUAUUUAUCUAUCUCUAUCUCUUUUGGUCGCUAUGGAAAUGUGCUACUCCGGGUUGUUAUAGUGCCUUUGUGUUAUUAAUGAUCGAGGCGUGGUUCCUUGCGUAUUUGUCGUGUCUGUGGACCGUGCCGUCGAGCCGGUUGAGAGAGUGAUGUGUUUGGACGUUGCGAUCGCGAGUUUGUCUCGCCAUGGCCGUAAUGCCAAGCAAGUCCUUUCUCUCGUGUUGUCGCUGAUCUUGUGUUAUUUGUCAUUGGACCGUGCCUUCGAGCCGGUUAGGGAAAUGGUAGUGCGUUCGACCAUUUCGAUCGUGGGUCCGUCCCGCCGUGAUCGCGAUGCCGAGCGUAACGCAUUCCUCGUGUUUAGUUGACUUUGUUGAACUACGGUUGUUGGCUCCUAUCCCCGUCCCUAGGGUUUGAUCAUUGCGGACUCGACAUUCAUAACGACGCGGUUCUUACCCGCACCUUCGAGUCCUCUGUGAUCUAGUCUAGUGGGAUACAGAUUAGGAGCAACCUUGUGGAACAGUCGGAAGCCAACUCGUUAGGUGGAGCUCAUGGCCGCGAGUCGCCUCGCCAUGGUCAUCAGGCUUUACCUUGCUUCUCGCAUGUUUAUCUUAUCCGUCUCAUAUGCCUAUGCCACCUAGACUCGGGCAUUUCCUGUAGUUCCCGCAGUGACAACCACAUUGCCUGGAACUAUAGAAAUGGCCUUGUGCCGAUUUAGAAGCACCUAGGUCGCGAGGUGAUAUGAGUUGGUGUAGUUCGUGGGGUCGUGUUUAUUUCUCCAACUGUCGUUUGUUCCAUGGCAAGUUGGUUGAAAGAGUGUGAUUCGUUCUUCUUCUCUCUUGUUCUCAAUCCCCGUCGAUCCAGUAAUAUGUGGAUUGAGCCCUUUUGCUUGUUUAAUGUUUUGUUUCCAAUUCUGUGAUUCCCGCCGUCGCUAUGGCAAGUGGAUCAAUGGGAAGUGAAACCCGUGUCUUUUCCCGCCUUUUUGGAUCUUUGUGUUUAAACUCUUGUAUGCUUGUACCUAUUCGACCGUAGCAUUUCCUUGGUUCUCGUGGUGACAACCGCACUGCUAAGAACCCUAGGGAUGUCUUAGUGCAUUCAGUGUACCUAGGUCGUGGUACCCUACAAGUAGUUUAAGCACUCAUGUUCUAGUGUGUCACUCUUUCUGAUACCCCGUCUCUUACCAUGGCAAGUGGAUUGGAAGGAGUAGACCACUCCCCUUUUCUUCUCUCUUUGUUCCACCCUCUCUUGGCUCUCGCCAACUGCAAAGGCGUAUGGGUUGAGAGAGACCGGAACUUCUCGUGCUUGUAGUCUUUUCGAUUCCCGUCGAUCUCUAUGACACUUGGAUCGGAAGACCGUAAGCCGUGGUGUUUACUUAGAAUAAGUUAGGGUCUACGCCUUUGUUAUUAAAGCCGUACAGGUCGACACGAUCGACCCGGGAAGUAACGGCUAGGCGAAGACUCCAGCUUGUACUUAGUAAACAACCAUUCUCAUUUCUUUUAGCCCAGGGAUCGGGCAUCCACCGAGAGGGCUAAGUCAUUAUCCUUUCGGUGCUCUUUUAGUGUAGUUGUUCUUCAGUGUUCUUCGUCUCUUUUCGCUGUCUUUCGAGGUCUAGUGGUUUGAUUGUUUCGCCUUGUUUGUUGUUUACGAGGUAGUUGCUUCGGUUAGCGAUGAUCGAAUCGGAACCAGUCGCAGGAAGGACAUGCAGAUAGGAGAAAGACCUUGGAUGAGUACAACUACAAGUGAACUGAGGAUCUUGGAAAUGUCACUCGACAGGUGCCACGUCCCACCCAACCUCGUAGAAUCCUAUUAGACAUGCAAUAUUAUAGAUGCUAGUGCUUUACUUUUAUGCAAAUGAACUAUGAUAGGUUGCAUGGUAGAAAUGCUUGUGAGCCAUUGCCUUGUUGCAACCUAUAACCCUCGCACACCCGCUGUUAGGUUAGAUGCUUGCAUACUACUUGCUACUGCUUCUACUACGCAUUAUAUCUGUGAUGUGAUGCAUUGUGGAGGAUUGGAUGUGAGUGGAUAAGGCACGUGUGCCGAUAACUGGUUAAGAAAUGGAUAAUGGAUAUGGGGAGAUCUUGGCGUGUGUCUUGGGUGUGUGGUGAGGGUCGAGUCGACCGAGCAGGAUUUACGACGAGUCUUGGGACAAGUCUUGCCGGGGAAUGCUACCUGGGCGUUCUCCAUGAGAGAUACCUGUGGCGGGUACAUGUGACAGGGAGAGGUCCCGGAGUGGAGUGUCUUCGUGGGACGAAGCACCGGGAUGGGAGGUGCUGUAUAGCACGGGGUAGCCGGGUGUCCCAUCGAGAGGGGCAUCGGCUGGCCCCUCGUGAAGAUGUCCUGUUCGGUUACCCUAAGGACUGAGAUGUUCUGAGAACCGGUUCGUAGGAAGCCUUACACGCCACUCGCCUUAUUAUGGUGCGGGACGGAUGUACGACCAGCUAGUGCGGUGCCACUACUACUAGGUUGAUAGCGGAUAGUGUAGGGAGGUACGGGCAUGAGGACCCACACCCUCCUAAGACAGCGUAGUGACCUUUGGGGGCCCGGUACUACGCCUCACAGUCUCAGCAUGCCGGUGGUACUCCGGUAUGGCCCCAGUCCUGAGUGGUAGGGUGGCAUCGUAUUUAGUUGGAAGGCAGCCCGGUAUCAGCCUAGACGAGCCGGUUCGUCGAUGAUGGUGAUCUUGUGGUUAGUGUAAACCUCUGCAGAGUUUGGUUGAUCGAUCGAUACAUAUGCCGUCUUCUCGGCUAUGGACCUUUCCUAUGUUCCGCUUCGCUUGACUAGUGAGAGGAGUCCUUUCUACCUUCCCCUGGGUUUGUGUUGGAUCCGGCGUUGGCCGUUGAGGCAAGGCACGAGCGGGAGUCGUACUUGCCGCCUAGAGAGUGAGAGUGUGGUGAGAUGUGUGUGAUGGGAUGGAUGGAUGGAUGUGUGGAUGAGAUGGAAUAAAACUUGAUGAAUUAUUAUUAUAAAAUAUUGAUGAACUUGCAUAGGAAAAACUACAGCUAUACAUAGGCCUCUUGAUAUACCCUUUGCAUUUCCACCUACCACAAAGCUACGCAAAAGCAUAGGGUGGGAGCCAGUGGCCAGUACAAAUCGUACUGAAAAUUGUUUAGCAGGUUUUGAACGUGAUCUAUGACGAUAACUACGGAGAAUAGAAGGAUUAGGUGGUCUCGUUCCUGCGCUCAAGUUUGGUUCGGAGAUGAAGGCUACGCCCGCUGAUAAACUACACCGACUCUGAUGAUUGCCUGUGAAGGAGGAGCCUUCACCGCUGACGCGCUACAUCGACUCUGAUAAAGACUCGUGUGUGUUUCCGCUAGAAAAACGAUGUAAUAGGCUUGUUGACCAAGAGUUGUAAAGUAAAUGUGUUGUAACCUUGUUUUUCCACGAUGCAUGACUGUGAUAACAGCUGAUAUAUGAUAAUGUGAUGGUUCAAUUUUUGAAUUAUCACAUUAUAAUUCGAAUCUGUGGAUUUUCCCCUUCGUGGAAAAAUCUGGGUCGUUUCAGUUGGUAUCAGAGCCAUACUUGACCCUAGGACGAGACCAUUAGUACCAAAAACUAGUUUAGAAGCCAAACAUUCUAUCUUUUGUAGAGUUAUAGGUGCUAACACUUGUUUUCCCCCUCCGCCUUGAAUUCUGCUACUAACUGACUUCCUAUUUCAUAAAGUUGACCGUUGGAAUCUUUUCCCAUACCCGCCCACGCUAGAUCGAUAGUUGUGUGAGACUUUGAAGGUCUGAGAGUCGCCUCAAGUCAACACUAUGCAUUAGGAGUGGUAAUGUUGUUUGAGUGCUUGGGUCUUAUGUUGUUGCAUUUCUUCUGCUUCUUGUUGUCUGAGUGUAGGUCAUAGAACUUGUUUUAUGCGGGAAAGACUCUGGAUCCCGUUCAACCUAGUCGGCUAAACCUAAGACCGUCCCGAGACUAGAUAAGUGACCUUGACUAACUGACUUAAAAGUAAGGUAAAGCUGAUGCAUCAUGUUUUGCCCAUCUGUUUCAAAACAACUUUCGGCUUUCAACAAAACAUAUCUUCAAAAUUGCCUCCUUUUUUGGUUGAAAAAGUUUCCCUCUUUUACAAAAACAUCUUGGUUUCAAAUGGAAAAGUGUUUCAAAACUCUCUUAUGGUUUUCCUUUUUAAAAAGAAAGCAACUUUAACUCCCUUCUCAACUCAAUUUCAUUCAAACUCUUUUUAUGAAAUGAUUUAAAAAUAAGUUAUCUUUCAAAAGGUGUCACCAACCCUCUUCUGAAAAUAAAAAGUUUUGCCUUCAACCAACAAAGUGGAUUUUCAACCAAAGAUUUUGGCUCAGUUUUGUUUUAAAGGCCUUGAUUUUACCUCGAGAGCCAAAUUCCUUUCAAAAAUCAACCUUACCUUAAAAAAAUCUCUAACUGAUUUAUUAACUAAAAUAAAUUGUUGCGAAAAGAUUUUGUUGCAACCUUUCAAAGAAAAUUUUUUAGCAAAAAUAGAAAGAACUUACAAGUUUAAAAAAAAAAUAAAAAAUAAUAAUAAAAUAAUAAUAAAAUAAAUGAGUUUCAACCCUCCUGAUUGAAAUCACUCAAAAAGAAUAUAUCAAAAGAUUCGGUUUUCAAAACUUGCAUCAAUUUCAACCCUCUUCAAAAGCUCUCUUCAUUUUGAAGUCUCAAAAACUUGACUUUGUAAAAGCGCCUUCACUCUAUUUUUGAAGCCUGUUUUUCUGAAAAAUCUUUCUCUCAAAAGCUUUUUGCAAAAAGUGAUGCAUGAAAAACAAAUGUGAAAGCCAACAACCCUAGCUAUGUUUAAGCCUGCCCUGCACACUUUGAGAGCUAGAUGUUCAUAAACCCGGUGCGAAUUUUGGAUACCCAACACCCACGACUGAGCCUUGGAUAUACCCGGAACAUGACUCACUCCCAUUUUGGAAAAGGUUUUUGGAGCGAUCAUACUGAAAGUGAAACAACUCAGAAAUAAGAAAAGCUUUGGGAACGACACCCUCGCCUCUUCACCAACCGAGCAACGUCUUAAUCUUGGGGACGAGAUUCCUGUAAGGAGGAUGGACUGUAACAUCCCAGAUUUUUUACGAAAACCAAAAAUACGAGCUUUUUAAAAAUUUUCCUCUAAUCGUGUGAAGCAUAUAGUUUUUAGGUCUAACUCGAUCCUAACUCGCUAACAAAUCGUGGCAUACAUAAAGAUUUGUUUGUAGACGAGUGCCUUUGUUCGUGAGUCGAUUUGGAGUUGAGUCUUAAUUAGGGUUUGGAGUGCACAAAUCCGUAGCAAAGUCCUCUCGAAUCUCUAUCGUAUUCCUUCGAGUCCGAUUCCAUAUCUAUAUAUUUGAAUCUCCCUCAAAUUCCCUUGCUCAUAAAUGGAGGAUUUCCUUUUUCAUUUCUCUUGGGCCGAAUCUCCCUCCAUUUCUUCUCGCGGCCCAGCUGGCCUGCUCCCUACCCCCCUCCUUGCCUCGGCCCAACAGGCGCCGCCGCCAGCCCAGCUCGCAAGUGCACCGCCUAGCCCAUCCCGCGCGCGGCCCAGCCCACCAGGCGCGCCCUCACCUGAACCCUAGGGAGCAGCUGCUCCUUAGGCGCCGCCGCCACCGCUCCAGGGUGGACAGAGGCGCGCCCGCGCCCCCUGCACCCGUGCCUCUGCGCGCACCUGCCCCUCUCCCCUCGACGCGCGCCCCGCGAUUCACGCCACGCGGCCCGCCCACGGCACGGACGCCGAGGAUGGUCGCCCUACCCCGAAGCCCUAGCGCCCGCGCUAUAAGAGCCCGAGCCGCCGCUCUCCUCUUCUUCCCCGCGACGCCACCGCCCUCCCCUUUCUCCUCUGCUCCCAAGCAGCGCCGCCGCGCUGCGAACUCGACCUCCACCUCCGGCGCCACGACGAACCACCACGACACGGCAGCGACGACGUCAACCGGCCGAACCCCGGCGACCGUGGCCGCGACCUCGCCCCCGCGCCCCUUCCCCUGCGCCCGAGCCUCGCCACGGCCACUCUGCGCGAGCACGCGGCUGCUUGGAGCAUCCGCGAUCCAGCGGCCGCAAGUCACCUCCCUCUGCUCCUUCUCCCUCCGCCCAGCGCCACUGCGUCACCUCGCCGACGAGCUCGCCGCGGACGUCACAGAGCACGACCACACCGAAGCCACCCACGACCGCGCCAUGGCCUCGUCCCGAAGCUGUGCUGCCGUGGCACCGUCUCCGCCACCGGUUCGCUCUGCGCUCGCGACGUCGACAUCGCCUGCAACCGCGACGCCACGGACCAAGCCCGUGGCGAGCCCGUCGCAGC
rnacentral:lncRNA from 1 species